rnacentral:lncRNA from 1 species
CUCUUUCUUAAACAGCCAUCACAAGACAUUCACAGUUCAGGGUGUGAAGCAGGUACAAUCUCGCCAAAGCAACUGGAAAUCUGAGAAGAGACAAGACACACACAUAAACGAAUAUCCUACAAACUCUUUGAAUGCAGUUACUUUCAGCCUGUAUUGCUUCACGCAUCGAGACCACACAUUUCCUAGGAGUGAAGGCAAGCCGUGUCCUCACAGCACCUCAUACACCUCUUCUCUAGCAAUAGAUGGAGAUAAUUCCUGCCUGUCUUAGUCUUCAUUGUCUGCUGAAAACUGCUGUGAAUAAGAACAUUCACCUUUCCCAGGUCAAGCAACUGUUGCACUUCAGUCCAUUCUAUAAUCAAACAGAGCCACAAAACAUCAUGCCAGGACCUGAGCUCUGUGCUGUCCACAUACAACCCUUUUAUCUGGGGAGCAGCCUGGCACGGCGACAAAGAGCCCAGGACCGUGAGGCUGACUCCUGGGUCACACACCUGCGAAUGAACACCACUCUCCUUGUUCUCCUCUAAAUUCAGACCUCAGAAUGGAGUCCACAGACCUUUGAGUCUUCAAACAAAUGAUUAAGU